UUGACAACACCUCCCGGGAUCCGGUCCGAAGGACCGAUGGUGAUCCGGUCAGAGCCGGUAGAUGGGUAAUGCCUACCGAGAGACCGAUGUGUGAGGGGGAGGUUGUUGGGUUAUCCCACAUCGGAGAGUGGAAGGGGUUGGGUGCUGUUUAUAAGUGUGAGGGAAAGCCUCACCCUCUGAGCUAGCUUUUGGGGUGAGAAGGCCCAAUAGCACCCAACAGUGGUAUCAGAGCUCGAGGUUGUGUUGGGGCUGGUU
rnacentral:lncRNA from 1 species